UACUCCUACGGGAGGCAGCAGUGGGGAAUAUUGGGCAAUGGGCGAAAGCCUGACCCAGCAACGCCGCGUGAGGGAAGAAGGGUUUCGGCUCGUAAACCUCUGUCCUAUGGGACGAAGGAAGUGACGGUACCAUAGGAGGAAGCCCCGGCUAACUACGUGCCAGCAGCCGCGGUAAU
rnacentral:rRNA from 1 species